rnacentral:rRNA from 1 species
UACGUAGGGUGCAAGCGUUGUCCGGAAUUAUUGGGCGUAAAGAGCUCGUAGGCGGCUUGUCGCGUCGUUCGUGAAAACCCGGGGCUCAACUCCGGGCUUGCGGGCGAUACGGGCAGGCUAGAGUUCGGUAGGGGAGACUGGAAUUCCUGGUGUAGCGGUGAAAUGCGCAGAUAUCAGGAGGAACACCGGUGGCGAAGGCGGGUCUCUGGGCCGAUACUGACGCUGAGGAGCGAAAGCGUGGGGAGCGAACAGG